GCAAGUCGAGGGGUAACAUUGGUACUUGUACCAGAUGACGACCGGCGCACGGGUGCGUAACGCGUAUACAACUUGCCCUUAACAGGAGGAUAGCUCAGGGAAACCUGGAUUAAUACUCCAUAGUCUUAUAAAGUCGCAUGGCUUAAUAAGUAAAACUCCGGUGGUUAAGGAUGGGUAUGCGUGACAUUAGCUAGUUGGUGAGGUAACUGCUCACCAAGGCAACGAUGUCUAGGGGUUCUGAGAGGAUGAUC
rnacentral:rRNA from 1 species